AUUGAACGCUGGCGGCAGGCCUAACACAUGCAAGUCGAGCGGGGUUUUCGGACCUAGCGGCGGACGGGUGAGUAAUGCGUAGGAAGCUACCCGAUAGAGGGGGAUACCAGUUGGAAACGACUGUUAAUACCGCAUAAUGUCUACGGACCAAAGUGUGGGACCUUCGGGCCACAUGCUAUCGGAUGCGCCUACGUGGGAUUAGCUAGUUGGUGAGGUAAUGGCUCACCAAGGCGACGAUCCCUAGCUGGUUUGAGAGGAUGAUCAGCCACACUGGAACUGGGACACGGUCCAGACUCCUACGGGAGGCAGCAGUGGGGAAUAUUGGACAAUGGGCGCAAGCCUGAUCCAGCCAUGCCGCGUGUGUGAAGAAGGCCUUCGGGUUGUAAAGCACUUUCAGUAGGGGGGAAGGGUUAAGUGUUAAUAGUACUUAACUUUGACGUUACCUACAGAAGAAGCACCGGCUAACUCUGUGCCAGCCGCCGCAGUAACAC
rnacentral:rRNA from 1 species